rnacentral:rRNA from 1 species
CCUGCGGGCGGCUGCAGUGAGGAAUAUUGGUCAAUGGGCGCGAGCCUGAACCAGCCAAGUCGCGUGAAGGAUGACGGUCCUAUGGAUUGUAAACUUCUUUUGUGCAGGAAUAAAGUGAGGAACGUGUUCCUUUUUGUAUGUACUGUACGAAUAAGCAUCGGCUAACUCCGUGCCAGCAGCCGCGGUAAUACGGAGGAUGCGGGCGUUAUCCGGAUUUAUUGGGUUGAAGGGGUGCGUAGACGUGAGUGGUGAAAGUUUGCAGCUUAACUGUAAAAUUGCCAUUGAAACUGUUAGUCUUGAGUGCAAAUGAGGUAGGCGGAAUGUGUUGUGUAGCGGUGAAAUGCUUAGAUAUAACACAGAACUCCGAUUGCGAAGGCAGCUUACUGGGAUGCAACUGACGCUGAUGCACGAAAGCGUGGGUAUCAAACAGGAUUAGAUACCCUGGUAGUC